UACGUAGGGCGCAAGCGUUGUCCGGAAUUAUUGGGCGUAAAGAGCUCGUAGGCGGGCUGUCGCGGCUGCCGUGAAAACCCGAGGCUUAACCUCGUGGCUUGCGGUGGAUACGGGCAGACUAGAGGUAGGUAGGGGAGAAUGGAAUUCCCGGUGUAGCGGUGAAAUGCGCAGAUAUCGGGAGGACCACCGGUGGCGAAGGCGCUUCUCUGGGCCUUACCUGACGCUGAGGAGCGAAAGCGUGGGGAGCGAACAGG
rnacentral:rRNA from 1 species